AUUAUUCUUAAUAUUAUUCUUAACGAAUAAGAAUAUUUCCUUCUUGUUUGGAAUAUCCUUUUAAUAUGUGACACAUGCACGACGUUCGCGCAGCAGAGAUGCCAGAUUCGGUGCGUUGAUCGCCAUUAUGUUGCGUCGUGCGUCUCCGUACGUGUUCAAGCGAAGAACUAUGUACGUUUGGUUUCGUGCGGGUUUUGAUCGAUCGGUCUGAGUCGAUGUCCCCUUUUUUGUGCAGUCGCUUAUGUCGUUAAUCUGCUCAAUUGUUGUUUAUUGCUCGUGAUGUUCGUAUGUACAUGUGCAGUGUAAUUCUGUUCAUAUUUCUUGAGAAAUGGAUGAAGAAGUAGCUAGAUGGCUUAAAGAAGAAGAUCUGAGCGACUUGAAGGAGAUAUUUAUGAGUAAGUAGGUAUCUUAGAUAUUUGGAAUAGAAGAUUCAUGAAUCCUAUUAACUUUUCUAGAUAUCUCUCGAUAGUUUCUGAUUCGCAUGCCGAUUCUCUAAUUUCGUAACGACGAUGUCGCUAUUGUUAUCCAGUGAGAAAUGACUUGUCAAUCGACGUCGAAAUCAUCAAAUCGACGUCCAUCGACGAGUCAUUUCUUAUUGGGUUAUAUGUCGUUACGCAGAUAAAACGUAUCAAAACAUAGCUGAGCAACGACGAAGUUAGAGAAUCGGCACGCACAGGAAACAAAACUUUCUUUAUUUUUUCCAAAUAUGCCUCAUUAAAUUUUAUUUGUAAUAGUUUAACCUUUCUACACAAUGUCUAAUCUUACUAUCCAUAAUCUAACCUAACUAUCCAUAUAUACAUUCAUAUAUUAUAAUAUAUUCAUGCCAUUUCAAGCACUUUUUAAUUUUCUUUUAAUUGGUUAUCUUUCUUUGGUGUGCUUACAAAUGUUAGAAUAUACCUACAUGUUUUGAAUAUAAUACUUUUCUUUCUUUUUCGAUUUCUUCCCUUUCAAAUUUAAUUGCCGAGUUAAUUAAUUUGCAGAUUCAGCAAGAUUUUAAAGAAUUAUAUCCUGGAAGAGAAGAGGGUUUGAUAUCAAAGUGAGAUUCAACGAAAGAAGUCUUAAUUAAUUUUCUUAAUAUUGAGAUAGCCAAAUCGGAUGAGUAUGGCAGGAAGUUAUUACUUACAGAUCUGAGUAUUACAGAUACAGACAAAAGUGAUGUAAUUUUAUUUCAUUUACUACCAUCAUUUUGUUGUAAAAAGAUAAGAGGUGCAAGCGUAGACGUACCAUCUGUCGCAGAAGCUAGGAAGACUUUUAUUCUCCAUGUCCUUGUAACUAUCAUUUGUAAUAAAUAUUACAAACAACAACAACAUUAUGAUAAUAAUGAAGUACAUGAACUCAUUGUUUUCAAAAAUAUUUUUACAGAUCUCGGGAGAUUUAAAUCGUGAAAUCAAGACUCAUAGUGAGUGGCUAGCAAAUCGUGGUUUAAACUUGCAGCCGCUAAUAUUUGUUAGACCUUCUUUAUCGAAUAUUACUGCCAGUUAUGUUCAAAUAGAUAACGUACUGUGCGGUAUCACCUUCGCACUCCAUUAAAAGCUCUGGACACAUGUUUCAAGGCAUUUCAUGCACUGGAUGCUGCAUACCAAGAGGAGUACCGAGCAGUGUGGCUUUUUAUCCAGAAGUAUUUUUAUGAUUUAUAUCUUAAAGAAGAUAAUAAUAUUCCUUGACAAAUAUACACUACUAUCAAAAAGUUUAAGACCGAAGUAACAAAUAGAGAUUAAGAUAGAAAUACAAAAUAAAAUUGCUUCAAAUUAUAAUGAAAAUAAAUUUUAUUAGAAAAAGAAACACGAAAUAGUAAUAAUAAGUAAUUGAUAUUAUCUUUUGGGGAUGAAAUUAUAUAAUUAAAUCUAUUAAUUUCUUUGGUCCUAAACUUUUUGACGGUAGUGUACUUAGUUUCUUGAAGGUAUUGGUGUCAAAGAAAAGCUAGUGCUAUUCUGCACUUUAACUUUACAUUGUAAAAUAUAUUAUAUUAUAUUGUAUUAUUCCUUACUACUAAGAAACCUAAAAAAAAUGAUUUAAAAAAUGACGUAUAAUUGUAAGAACUGCCAUUUUCAAUUGCCUUCCAUUGAAGCAUUAUGUUGUCAUUAUGUUUGCAGACAAUUCAUUCAUAUAAUAUUUUUAGUGUGUAUAAAUGUGCCCAAAA